rnacentral:rRNA from 1 species
ACGGGAGGCAGCAGUGAGGAAUAUUGGUCAAUGGGCGAGAGCCUGAACCAGCCAAGUCGCGUGAAGGAUGAAGGUUCUAUGGAUUGUAAACUUCUUUUGUUCGAGGGUAAAGUGAGUCACGUGUGAUUUAUUGCAAGUAUCGAACGAAUAAGCAUCGGCUAACUCCGUGCCAGCAGCCGCGGUAAUACGGAAGAUGCGAGCGUUAUCCGGAUUUAUUGGGUUUAAAGGGAGCGUAGGCGGCCUUUUAAGUCAGCGGUCAAAUGUCAGCGCCCAACGCUGGCCUGCCGUUGAUACUGAUGGGCUUGAAUACACACAAGGAAGGUGGAAUUCGUCGUGUAGCGGUGAAAUGCUUAGAUAUGACGAAGAACUCCGAUUGCGAAGGCAGCCUUCUGGAGUGCGAUUGACGCUGAGGCUCGAAAGCGCGGGUAUCAAACAGGAUUAGAUACCCUGGUA